rnacentral:lncRNA from 1 species
AAGAUAAGGACAGAAACAUAGAAGGGCCCAGCUUAGAGGAGCACACCUUGUGCAUGGGGGGAGCCAGAGGGCCCCUAACUCUGAGAAUCCUAACUCUGCCCCCACUGGGUGUGGGACCAGGGGCACUUCCCCAAGUGAGCUACUUCACCUCCCUGGGUUACUAGAGUCCAGAUGGGCCCCUGGAUUCCUUGGAGACAGACAGGGCAGCUCCCUGGCAAUGGAAAAGAUGGUAGCCCUUCUCCCCCAAUCCAUAUACAAAAGGCCCUGGGGCUCACUAAUUACGCUCUUUUUGACUACCCUGCAGUGAGGCAGAAUAAGAAUUAUCAUCCCCACUUCCCCAUUUUCAGGGAAGGAAACUGAUGGUUAGAAACAGAAGGUGGCUCCAGAUCACACAGCGAUUCAAGCCAGAGAGGGCGAGGCUGCAGUGAGCCAUGAUCGUACUACUGUGCUCCAGCCUGGGUGACAAAGUGAGACCCUG